AUUGAACGCUGGCGGCAUGCCUUACACAUGCAAGUCGAACGGUAACAGGUCUUCGGAUGCUGACGAGUGGCGAACGGGUGAGUAAUACAUCGGAACGUGCCCGAGAGGGGGGGAUAACGAGGCGAAAGCUUUGCUAAUACCGCAUACGAUCUCAGGAUGAAAGCAGGGGACCGCAAGGCCUUGCGCCCACGGAGCGGCCGAUGGCAGAUUAGGUAGUUGGUGGGAUAAAAGCUUACCAAGCCGACGAUCUGUAGCUGGUCUGAGAGGACGACCAGCCACACUGGGACUGAGACACGGCCCAGACUCCUACGGGAGGCAGCAGUGGGGAAUUUUGGACAAUGGGCGCAAGCCUGAUCCAGCCAUGCCGCGUGCAGGAUGAAGGCCUUCGGGUUGUAAACUGCUUUUGUACGGAACGAAAAGACUCUGGUUAAUACCUGGGGUCCAUGACGGUACCGUAAGAAUAAGCACCGGCUAACUACGUGCCAGCCGCCGCCGUAAGAC
rnacentral:rRNA from 1 species